CUAAUGUUUUCUGGAAGGACACAGAAUAACAAUGCUUUCUGCAUAUAUGGAAUGUCGCUCAUGUUUAUCAAUGUACAAAUGUUGAUAUUGUGCAUAUUAUUUUUACCUGAAGAAUUAGAUUGACAAUUGUUAAUUCUGAGAUUGUAUUAAAAAAUAAAAUGUUAUGUUUUGUAAACAAAUAUGGCUUAGCAUAGUUUUCAGACCCAGAUUUCAGCACCAGAAUAUUGGAAUAGCCAAGCAAGUUGCAUUAAGUGGAAAUAGCUGGAGAUUUUCAGUUCGGACUCUCAAAGAAUUUCCUAAUUUUGGCUUCAUAGUUUUGGCCCACAUUAUCUAAUAACACAUUCACGUAUUUCACUCAGUGAGCCAUCCUUGUAUGGCAGAUCAGUGUUUGUUUCACUCAUUCCUAACUAUGUCUUAGUAGGAAAUGUAACAUUUAUACAUUGCCUAGAAUUUCUAUAGAAUAUCCAAACCAAAUUCCAGAAAAGUAUGAAAAUCGCUGUCCUGCGACAUCACAUGUAGAUGUAAAGUAUUUUCUAAGACUGUAAAGAGUUUGAGAUUACUAUGUUUUUGUUUAUUUUUUUACCAAGCCUUGUAGUUGCUGCGUUGAAUACACAGAUAGAACUAGGAAUGGCUGAUUUCACAAUGUUUGAUGAGAAUUCCGCAGCGUGCAGUGACCAUGUUACAGUGUUGGGCCUGUUGCAAGGCUGUGGCAGUGUGGUGGGAAUCAUUCACAUUCACCAUGAAAAAGUACUGCAGUGUAUUGUAAUACCGGUUUUACUGAUAGAAAUUUGCAAUGACAAGUAUUCCGGAGAUCCUCCCUUUACCAGGCAUAAAGCAUUGACAAAGUCCAUACAGAAAUACUUCAUUAUUUUGUAUCUACUUCACUGGAUUAAUAUGUCAACUCCGACAGUAAAAAUGGCAUUUUUAUUAUUUAUUAAAUAGCUUUAUUAAAUGGCAGAGUCCGUUUAAAAAGCAGCUUUAUCGAACACUCCAUGUCUCAGCGACUGCCGUGCCCACCGAGUUGCCGCACUGACUGUUGUUGCCACAGCAGGCUGAGGUAGUAGGUUGUGUGGUUGCAGGGUAGUAAUUUUUGCCCCUUUCAGGAGUUAACUAUACAACCUACUGCCUUCCCUGAUGGGCUGCAUUACAUCUGCGCCACAAAGUGUGUAACACCACAACAAUAUGGAUCUCAGCGGGCGGUCACUCAGCAAUCUAGGUUGUAUUAUUUCGGCUCAGUGUGAUUUCAAAUCACUUUCCUUUGUUAGUUUUACAUAUACGUCUUUUUUUUUCCCACUGCUAAACCUUUAAAACAUAAAAUCAAUAAAUAUAUUCUCAAAUAUUA